AAUGAACGCUGGCGGCAGGCCUAACACAUGCAAGUCGAACGAACUCUUCGGAGUUAGUGGCGGACGGGUGAGUAACACGUGGGAACGUGCCUUUAGGUUCGGAAUAACUCAGGGAAACUUGUGCUAAUACCGAAUGUGCCCUUCGGGGGAAAGAUUUAUCGCCUUUAGAGCGGCCCGCGUCUGAUUAGCUAGUUGGUGGGGUAAUGGCCCACCAAGGCUACGAUCAGUAGCUGGUCUGAGAGGAUGACCAGCCACAUUGGGACUGAGACACGGCCCAAACUCCUACGGGAGGCAGCAGUGGGGAAUCUUGCGCAAUGGGCGAAAGCCUGACGCAGCCAUGCCGCGUGGAUGAUGAAGGUCUUAGGAUUGUAAAAUCCUUUCACCGGUGAAGAUAAUGACUGUAGCCGGAGAAGAAGCCCCGGCUAACUUCGUGCCAGCCGCCGCUGUAAUAC
rnacentral:rRNA from 1 species